CGGGGGAGGCGUGCUCCGCAGGACCGGUGUUCCAGCUGUGGGUUCACGCCGCGGUCGCGGCUGCUGACGUGGGCCGGCCCGGUGUGGGGCUGCGGGUGCGGGUCGCUAUGGCGGUGGACAUCACGCUGCUGUUCCGGGCCAGCGUGAAGACCGUGAAGACGCGGAACAAGGCGCUGGGAGUGGCGGUGGGCGGCGGGGUCGAUGGCUGCCGCGACGAGCUGUUUCGCCGGAGCCCCCGGCCCAAGGGCGACUUCUCCGGCCGGGCCCGCGAAGUGAUUUCUCACAUUGGCAAACUGAAAGAUUUUCUUCUGGAACAUAGGAAAGAUUAUAUUAAUGCUUAUAGCCAUAUCGUGUCUGAAUAUGGGAGGAUGACAGACACAGAACGGGACCAGAUAGACCAGGAUGCUCAGAUAUUCAUGAGAACCUGUUCUGAAGCAAUUCAGCAACUGAGAGCAGAAGCCCACAAGGAGAUACAUUCCCAGCAAGUGAAGGAGCACAGGACGGCUGUUUUGGAUUUCAUUGAAGAUUACUUAAAAAGAGUGUGUAAACUUUACUCAGAACAAAGAGCCAUCCGAGUUAAAAGAGUGGUGGAUAAGAAAAGAUUAUCUAAACUGGAACCAGAACCAAAUACAAAGACAAGAGAAUACAUAUCUUCUGAGAAAGUUUCUGAAGGUCCUGUAAAAGAUUCGGAAGAAAAACCUACCACUGAAGAAUAUCCAGAAAAGAAUUCGACUGAAGCACGACCUGAAUUGGGAACCUGGGGAGAUGGCAAAGGCGAAGAUGAAUUAUCCCCAGAAGAAAUACAAAUGUUUGAACAAGAAAAUCAGCGACUAAUUGGUGAAAUGAACAGCUUGUUUGACGAAGUGAGGCAAAUCGAAGGGAAAGUGGUUGAAAUUUCCAGACUCCAAGAGAUAUUCACGGAAAAGGUUUUGCAACAGGAGCGUGGGCAGUGGUCACCUGGCCUGUACUUGGAGAGUCUCUGGAAAGGUCUGAUCACAGAGUGAAGCCGCCCCACUAACAGCCGUCUCCAGGAACCAGGCGGCUACAGGCGGCUUUCCUCCCUGCAGUGCAGGCCUCUCUAGUCUCCCACCACUGUCCGUUCCCCUCCCUGACACUGCCAGGAAGCAUCUUCGCUCUGCCAAAGGGAUUGAGCAAAGCGGCACUCCUGUUGGAAGGCCGUCUUGCGUGGGCUGCGCCUGUGGAAUUCUGGGCUCAUUAGCUGGAGUCGUGGGGUGGGGGGCAGGAGCCCAUGCUAUUAAGCUUCCCAGUGUGUGGAGUAAUACAAGUGCUGUGUUUUCUGCAGGCACCCUGCAUCCUAUUUUGAUUUUUGAAUUUCAGCCUAUUUUAUAGAGAUGUAAUUAUAAAACAUAAAGCACUGUUUUUGAAGUUAGCAUAUGUGUUUGGAAGCACCCAGGCUUUGAAGCUUACUUACUUCUGUGCAUUUCACAAAGAAUGAGGUGGAGUCUGCAGAGAAAGCCCUGCCAAGUGGUGCUGCCUCCUACAGUGACUUUUAGGUUUUUGUCCUUGUCAUCAGCCCAGUGACACUGGAGUGAUAGCAGGGGGGUGGAAGGAGCACAGGCACUGAGGUGGGCAAGGUUCUGCCACUUAGCUGCUGCGUGACUUUGGGCAAGUUGGUAAACUUCUCUGACCCAUAAAUUUCUCUGUUAUAAAGUAGAGGGGACAAUACCUACUUCUUAGGGUGCUGAGAGGGUCUGUGAGCUAUGCAGCUAAGCUCCAGCCCUUAGAAGGGGCAGCUACUGUUUCUGUUGUGAUGUAAGCCCCAGGGGAGGAGGCCGUGCAGGUGCUGUGUCCCUCAUUCAUCCAAAGCCCGAGACCCCAAGUGCUCCAAAUCUGAAACUUUUUGAGUCCAACAUGACAGUCAAAGGAAAUCCUUGUUUGAGUUUGGAUUUUCAGACAAGGGAUCCUCCUCCUGUGUUUAUCUGACGCUCUUCUCUUCAACAGGAAGCCGAGAUUGAUAGCAUCCACCAGUUAGUCGUCGGGGCGACUGAGAAUAUCAAGGAGGGCAAUGAGGACAUAAGAGAGGCCAUCAAAAACAACGCCGGCUUCCGCGUGUGGAUCCUCUUCUUCCUCGUGAUGUGCUCCUUCUCCCU